GCCUGGUGGGCUGCAGUCCAUGGGGUCGCUAAGAGUGGGACACGACUGAGAGACUUCACUUUCACUUUUCACUUUCAUUCAUUGGAGGAGGAAAUGGCAGCCCACUCCAGUGUUCUUGCCUGGAGAGUCCCAGGGACAGCGGGGCCUGGUGGGCUGCCGUCUAUGGGGUCGCACAGAGUCGGACACGACUGAAGCGACUUAACAGCAGCAGCAGUGGAAAAACCAAAUACCACAAUACAGUUACAUCUCACGAUUUGUUAAUAUUUUGUUAAGUUUUUCCCUAAACAUCUGCUGCUAAGUCACUUCAGUCGUGUCCAAAACAUCUGCAGCCUUGGAAUAAUGUGAGUUUGGAUGGAGGGUGACGAGGAAUGGGCUGGUAUCCACCUUCCAGGCACCACCUUCGCGUUAGGACUCGGGGACCACAUGGACCCUACAGCUGACGCAGUUUGGAACUCUGGCCCCUACUCACAACAGGAAGGUUUUAAGAUGCUGAGUCGAGGAGUCUUAGCUCCUGGAGGAGACUAUGGAGAGCCUCUGGUUUCCAGUCCCUGCAGGGGCCAAAAGGCUCUAGGUUUGUCUGCCUCACCAGAACUGACUCAAAUUCACUCCUUGUCUUCGAGGCCAGUGACCUAAAGGUUACCCUCCAACUCAGAACCCUUCAACAAGCGAGCCGCUCAUCUAACCAAUAAGACACGCUGGUGUUUGGGGCCCGGCGUGCCUCCCUCCGGCUGGAACGCUUCCUCCCUCCUGCGCUGCCUGAUCCACCCUUACGGCCACGGUCCGUGCGCCGCCUCCUACGGGAAGCUUUCGAGACCGCACCCUCAGUCCCCUCGUCCUUCCCAAGACCCCUCGUUCUGCUGCCCUCCGCCUCUUCUCGGGCGCAACGCUCCACUGCAGCUUCCUUCCCUAUCGUCCGUCCACUCUGCUUCGACUCCUCUCCCUACAGUUACGUCUACAGCUGGGGCCUGUCCCGGUUCCCUCAGGGCUGAACGCUGAAGUCCCCUCAAAAGCCGCUGAGUCAUGAUCCACACUCGACACAGCAAGCCUGGAGAGCUUUCUAACUCACCCGAAGUCCCGCCGCUGGUGAGCGGCGGAGCCCAGACCUGAAGCCAGGCCACGAGCACCGCCGGGGUCCCGGGCCUGACCGCGCGCCUCCCCAGCCCUGACCCAGAACGCGUGGCUGCGCACAGGCACUCAGGAGCAAUCACAGUGAUAACCCGACCCCCGUCCCAGCGCUUACUGAGUGCCUAGUAACCAACUCACUUCUCACAACUGCCAUGAGAGGUAGGGUUUUUUCCCAUGUUUGGUUUUUAUUUAUUAGCUUUUAAAUUUUUUCAUGUAUUUUACUUAUUUAUUUUAUUGGGGUAUAGCUGCUUUACAAUGUCUGUUAGCUUCUGCUGCACAGUGAGGUGAAUGAAUUACAUGUAUCCAUAUAUCAUAUAUCUCAUUCCAAAGCAGGGACAAUUUUUAUUCCCAUUUUACAGAUAAGGAAACUGAGGCACAGAAUGUUCUGUAACUUACUUGUCCAGUGGCAGAACCGAGAUGCAAACCCAGGAAGUCUGGCCCCAGAGCCCAGGCGCUUAAUCAGUGUAGCCUCCUUGCAGGUCUAUUUUGAAUGAAUGGGUUGAAAUGCAGAAAAAAAAUAAAGAUACAUCAUUUAAUUUAGAGACUUCCCUGGUGGUCCAGUGGGUAAGACUCCGUGCUCCCAAUGAAGGGGGCCUCAGUUCGCUCCCUGGUCAGGGAACUAGAUCCCACAAAUCCUGACUAAGACCCAGGGCAGACAAAUAAAUAAGAUGGACUGCAAGGAGAUCCAACCAGUCCAUCCUAAAGGAGAUCAGUCCUGGGUGUUCAUUGGAAGGGCUGAUGUUGAAGCUGAAACUCUAAUACUUUGGCCACCUGAUGCGAAGAGUUGACUCACUGGAAAAGACCCUGAUGCUGGCUAAGAUUGAGGGCAGGAGGAGAAAGAGACAACAGAGGAUGAGAUGGUUGGAUGGCAUCACUGACUCAAUGGACAUGAGUUUGAGUGAACUCCAGGAGUUGGUGAUGGACAGGGAGGCCUGGUGUGCUGCAGUCCAUGGGGUCACAAAGAGUCACACACGACUAAGUGACUGAACUGAAUUGAAUUUUAAAAAAUACAGUUGAAUGACCUUGUGGCUUGUAGACAUCCUCUAAACCGGAAGACAGGAACUGAGCUAGGACACUUAGCCCCAUGUCCUGCUCUGAGGACAGUCAGGUCAGCGCCCAAGGGCAGAGUACCCACAGCCACGGAGAAGCUGGUAGAGGGCCAGAAGCAGCCCCCGCCCCCCACCACAGCUCCCUGCUCCCUCCACCCUCUAUGCCAGGGCACUCCCUUGGGUGGCCCUUGGCUGGUCCUGUUUGACUUCCUCGGGGGGGACGUCCAGAAGGCCCACUCCCUGGCUGUGGCUCUGUGCCAGGAAGGCUGGCUCCCAGCGCCGUGGCGAGGCUGUGAGGUGUGCCUGGCAAGGCUGUGAGGUGUGCCAGCAGGUCCGCAGAGAAGUCCCCCGCGACCUCCACGCCCUGCCCAAGCUGUGGUGUUGUGGCCGCCACUCAGCAGGGCCCACACCUCGUUUGGGUCUCAUUCAGGAAUGGACUAGAUGUGCAAAUGGAAGGGGAGGGAGGGAUGCACAGACACCCUCACUUCCCUGUCUCCGCGACGGUCGGGACUCUAUUUGGACAGACAGACACAGUUGUAGCAGUCUCAUUGAUAUGCAUAACAACUACUUGCUUUGCUGAUACUGAACCAUCUCAUUCUUUGCUUAGAGGACACUUACCCCCUUUGCUGUAACUACUCCGUAAUGGCCAUUUACCAGCAAAUGGUACAUGAGCUCUCUAAGGCAAGAAGCUUGCCUUUAUCCAGGCUCUACACCCCAGGCUCAUCAGCAUGCUGGCAGAUAUUCAAAUAUCUGCUGAGUAGAUGCUCAGGAAAGUGAAAGAGAAAAUGACCGUAUGAGCAGAGCUAGUGAACAGAUCUGCUUUCUGAGACCCAGUUUUCCUCUCCGAAAUUCCUAAUCCAUCACAGUGUGGUAGGAUUCCACGACUCAUACAUGGAAACAGCAGGAUAUUUCUGGCUGAGGCAUCAGUUAUUGGUAUAAGACUCACUCCCUUUUCCUCUGUGUGCAGUUGACAUGGUGCCUUUAUUUAUUUUUUUGUCUUAACCCAGAUCCCAUAGUUUGAGUAAGAAAUAAACCUUUGUUAUUUGAAGCCACGAAGGCUUGGAGGUCAUUUGUUAUUUCAGCAAAGCCUAGCCUAUCCUGACUACUAGAUAUUCAGCUCACACUCGUUUGUCAGGGACCUACAGAACUGAAGACAUUCAGCCAAUGGUCUUCUACAACAGCGCAACAAAACCUUCUGCAAUGGCAGCGAUGUUCCAUGCCUCCUCCAUCCAGUACAACAGAUGCUGGCCACACGAGA
ensembl:lncRNA